rnacentral:rRNA from 1 species
AAAUUGAAGAGUUUGAUCAUGGCUCAGAUUGAACGCUGGCGGCAGGCCUAACACAUGCAAGUCGAGCGGUAGCACAGAGAGCUUGCUCUCGGGUGACGAGCGGCGGACGGGUGAGUAAUGUCUGGGAAACUGCCUGAUGGAGGGGAUAACUACUGGAAACGGUAGCUAAUACCGCAUAAUGUCGCAAGACCAAAGUGGGGACCUUCGGGCCUCAUGCCAUCAGAUGUGCCCAGAUGGGAUUAGCUAGUAGGUGGGGUAACGGCUCACCUAGGCGACGAUCCUAGCUGGUCUGAGAGGAUGACCAGCCACACUGGAACUGAGACACGGUCCAGACUCCUACGGGAGGCAGCAGGGGAAUAUUGCACAAUGGGCGCAAGCCUGAUGCAGCCAUGCCGCGUGUGUGAAGAAGGCCUUCGGGUUGUAAAGCACUUUCAGCGGGGAGGAAGGCGGUGAGGUUAAUAACCUCACCGAUUGACGUUACCCGCAGAAGAAGCACCGGCUAACUCCGUGCCAGCAGCCGCGGUAAUACGGAGGGUGCAAGCGUUAAUCGGAAUUACUGGGCGUAAAGCGCACGCAGGCGGUCUGUCAAGUCGGAUGUGAAAUCCCGGGCUCAACCUGGAACUGCAUUCGAAACUGGCAGGCUAGAGUCUUGUAGAGGGGGUAGAAUUCCGGUGUAGCGGUGAAAUGCGUAGAGAUCUGGAGGAAUACCGGUGGCGAAGGCGGCCCCUGGACAAAGACUGACGCUCAGGUGCGAAAGCGUGGGGAGCAAACAGGAUUAGAUACCCUGGUAGUCCACGCCGUAAACGAUGUCGAUUUGGAGGUUGUGCCCUUGAGGCGUGGCUUCCGGAGCUAACGCGUUAAAUCGACCGCCUGGGGAGUACGGCCGCAAGGUUAAAACUCAAAUGAAUUGACGGGGCCCGCACAAGCGGUGGAGCAUGUGGUUUAAUUCGAUGCAACGCGAAGAACCUUACCUGGUCUUGACAUCCACAGAACUUUCCAGAGAUGGAUUGGUGCCUUCGGGAACUGUGAGACAGGUGCUGCAUGGCUGUCGUCAGCUCGUGUUGUGAAAUGUUGGGUUAAGUCCCGCAACGAGCGCAACCCUUAUCCUUUGUUGCCAGCGGUCCGGCCGGGAACUCAAAGGAGACUGCCAGUGAUAAACUGGAGGAAGGUGGGGAUGACGUCAAGUCAUCAUGGCCCUUACGACCAGGGCUACACACGUGCUACAAUGGCAUAUACAAAGAGAAGCGACCUCGCGAGAGCAAGCGGACCUCAUAAAGUAUGUCGUAGUCCGGAUUGAGUCUGCAACUCGACUCCAUGAAGUCGGAAUCGCUAGUAAUCGUAGAUCAGAAUGCUACGGUGAAUACGUUCCCGGGCCUUGUACACACCGCCCGUCACACCAUGGGAGUGGGUUGCAAAAGAAGUAGGUAGCUUAACCUUCGGGAGGGCGCUUACCACUUUGUGAUUCAUGACUGGGGUGAAGUCGUAACAAGGUAACCGUAGGGGAACCUGCGGUUGGAUCACCUCCUUA